AUUGAACGCUGGUGGCAUGCCUUACACAUGCAAGUCGAACGGCAGCACGGGUGCUUGCCCCUGGUGGCGAGUGGCGAACGGGUGAGUAAUACAUCGGAACAUGUCCUGUAGUGGGGGAUAGCCCGGCGAAAGCCGGAUUAAUACCGCAUACGAUCUACGGAUGAAAGCGGGGGACCUUCGGGCCUCGCGCUAUAGGGUUGGCCGAUGGCUGAUUAGCUAGUUGGUGGGGUAAAGGCCUACCAAGGCGACGAUCAGUAGCUGGUCUGAGAGGACGACCAGCCACACUGGGACUGAGACACGGCCCAGACUCCUACGGGAGGCAGCAGUGGGGAAUUUUGGACAAUGGGCGAAAGCCUGAUCCAGCAAUGCCGCGUGUGUGAAGAAGGCCUUCGGGUUGUAAAGCACUUUUGUCCGGAAAGAAAUCCUUGGCCCUAAUACGGUCGGGGGAUGACGGUACCGGAAGAAUAAGCACCGGCUAACUACGUG
rnacentral:rRNA from 1 species